UGUAUAUAUGUGUAUGUAUAUGUGUAUUUACAGGGCCAGAUUAAUAGCCCAGUGGGCCUGGUGCUGAAAAUUAUGAGGGGCCUAAGUACAGAAUCUUAUCGACCAAAAACACUAAAACAGUCAUAUCUCUCAAGCAUUAUGUAUCUGGUGGAGAUGUUGCCGGAGGGAAACUCAUAGGAUGCAGCUAUAAAAAAAAACUCAGAUUCUUUUAAAUAUGCUAAUCUCUCUCUAAUUCAUGCUUUCAUCUUUCAGGUAAAUCCAUACCUCUUAAUAGCAGUGUCCAGUGAAGCAGGAAGUCAAUGAGCGGUGUAAAAGGGUGGGCCACAGACGCGGAUCAUGUAACCAGAACUUCCGAAAGGGCCGAACAUGCCCCAAAAGUAGGCGUGUCUGCCCAAAGAAUUGGAAGGCUAGCCUGGCAUGAAUGUAUGUCAGGCUGCUGGCCAACAGCAUCAUGAGCUUGGCAUAAAAGCGUCUAAUGAUGCACUCGCUCCAUGCUUGCUAAGGACUUUCCCCUAGCACUCACAUGUCCACUUGUCUCCUUACCUUCUUACUAGCAGAGAGAAACUCCUGGUAUACAGUCUGAGACAGAGAAAAGGUGGAUGUAGUAAGUGUAGAAGAAAGCAAACAUGCCACAGUGUUAGAGAGACCAAAGUCAGCAUUAUCUUAAAGGACCACUCUAGGCACCCAGACCAGAGUAACUGCUAUGUUUAUAAAUGGGUUAAUCCAUGCUCCAAAUCCUCUAGCGGCUGUCUCAUUGACAGCCGCUAGAGGCGCUUGCGUGAUUCUCACUGUGAAAAUCACAGUGAGAACACGCAAGCGUCCAUAGGAAAGCAUUAUGAAUACUUUCCUAUGAGACCGGCUGAAAGCGCGCGCAGCUCUUGCCACGUGUGCGCAUUCAGCCGAAGGGGAGGAUCGGAGGCGGAGAGGAGGAGGAGGAGAGCUCCCCGUCCGGCGGUGGAAAAAAGGUAAGUUUUACCCCUUUCCUCUCACCAGAGCCCAGCAGGAGGGGGACUCUGAGGGUGGGGGCACCCUCAGGGCACUAUAGUGCCAGGAAAACGAGUAUGUUUUCCUGACACUAUAGUGGUCCUUUAACUAAUUUCAUUUCAGUUAGUCCACACAAGUUAUGUUUCCAUAUAUCCCUCUUAAGUUUCCAUACUUAAGCAAGAGUGGUUAGGGUUGACACCUUUCUUGGAAAAAAAUACAGGCCUUACUAAUUUGCAUAACUAAUUAUGUAUGUGUGACAUCACAUGAUGUAAAACACAAGGAAUGACAAAUAAAAUUCUGUGAAAUCACCAAAAAAACUACUUGGUUUGAUUCUGCUGUAUAGAUGGAUUGUUCCCAGUGUCUCCCUGUCUCCCAGUGUCCCCAUGUCACUCACUGUCCCCUAGUGUCUGUGUCCCCAAGACACUAGGGGACACUGAGACACUUGGGGAGAUUCGGGGACACUGAGAUUAUGUAUCACAGUGUCUCAGUGCCCCAUGUCUCUUAGUGUCCCCAUGUCUCCUGGGGACACUGGGAGACAUGGGGACACUGAGACACUAGGGACACUGGGAGACAUGUGCACACAGACACUAGGUACACUGGGAGACAUGGGGACACUGAGAGAGCAGGGACACUGGCUGGGAAACAUUGGGAACAUUGUGUCCCUAGUGUCUGUGUCUCCGUGUCUCCCAAUGUCCCCAAGUGUCUCAUUGUCCCCAUGUGUGUGUGUGUUUCCCCAUGUCUCAGUGUCCCCAUGUGUGUCUGUGUCCCCAUGUCUCCCAGGAUCCCCUAGUGUCUCAGUGUUCCCAGGUCUCAGUGUCCCCUAGUGUUUCAGUGUCCCCAUGUAUGUGUGUGUGUCCAUGUCUCAGUGUCCCCAUAUGUGUCUGUGUCCUCGUGUCUCCAAGUGUCUCAGCGUCCUCAGUGAGCUUCAUGUGUCCCCAUGUCUCAUAGUGUCCCCUAGUGUUUCAGUGUCCCCAUGUUUCCCUGCAGCCUUUACCCCAUCCCUCACUUCCCUGAGCUGUAGGCUGUGUCUGCAGGCUUGGCGCUGCUGUCUUGACUCACUGUGCUGUGUAGCUGCUCCCCCGCAGAUCAGUGAGUGGAGAGAUGCAGGUAUAUGCUGUAACUUCCACACACACAGUGGCCCCUACUGGCCGGUAAUGGUAAUCUCUUUAUACUGAGAAAAAUACCGGUAUUAAUGCAAUAUCAGCACCGGCCAGGCUGCCUUAAAUAAAUACUGGUAGUACUGAGUAGUGUGUAAAAUAAAU